rnacentral:rRNA from 1 species
CAGCAGCCGCGGGAAUACGUAGGUGGCAAGCGUUGUCCGGAAUGACUGGGCGUAAAGGGCGCGCAGGCGGUUUGUCGAGUUAGAUGUGAAAUUCCCGGGCUUAACCUGGGGACUGCAUUUGAUACUGGCAGGCUUGAGUGUGGAAGAGGGUCGUGAAAUUCCCAGUGUAGAGGUGAAAUUCGUAGAUAUUGGGAAGAACACCGGUGGCGAAGGCGGCGACCUGGUCCAUUACUGACGCUGAGGCGCGAAAGCGUGGGGAGCAAACAGGAUUAGAUACCCCAGUAGUCCCUGUCUCUUAUAC